rnacentral:rRNA from 1 species
AAACGAAUUUUGAUCCGCAGAUUUCUGAAUGGGGAAACCCAAUCAAUUUAUUGAUUAUUGCAUACUGAAUACAUAGGUAUGCAAGGUAAACCUGGUGAACUGAAAUAUCUCAGUAGCUAGAGGAAAGGAAAUCAAAAGAGACUCCGUUAGUAGUGACGAGCGAAUGCGGACCAGGCCAGUGGUUCAUAAUUAAAAAUUAGAAUACUUUGGAAAGAGUAGCCAUAGAUGGUGAUAGCCCAGUAUAAGUAAAAAUGUUAUGAAUCCUUGAGUAGGGCGGGGCACGUGAAAUCCUGUUUGAAGAUGGGGGGACCAUCCUCCAAGCCUAAGUACUCCUUAACGACCGAUAGUGAACAAGUACCGUGAGGGAAAGGUGAAAAGAACCCCGGGAGGGGAGUGAAAUAGACCCUGAAAUCGAAUGCUUACAACCAGUUGGAGCCUUAUAUUUAUAUUUUGAGAGCAAUCUCAUACUAUAUAUAUUAGGGUGA